ACCACGCUCGCUCUGUAGGGCCAGGCCCGGUUGGGACCGCUUGCAGCAAAGGCAAUGUGUACGCCUCUGGAGAUAGUUUAUGUCACUUUCGAGCCCCACUCACUCCAACAGUAGAACUAAACUACCUGGUCUUACAUGGAUUCUGACACUUGGCACGUUUGGCAAAUGAAUGAAUGAUCCAGUCAAUCAAUGAGUGAAUGCACGCAUGCUGAUUUAAAUUUCAGAAGAUUGUUACUGUUCAAAAGUAACUAGAUCAACAAGGGACCUCAAAGUUCUGGAGGCUGGAAGUCCAACAUCAAGGUGCCGCCAGAUUCAGUUCUUGGGCGCGGCCUGCUUCCUGACUUGCAGAGGCUGCCGUCUAGUGGUAUCCUCACCUGGCAGAGGUGACUGCUGUGGUAACCAGUUCCAGAGCAGGCUUUGACCAAUUUCACGCAAGUGCCAUCUGACUGCACCUCUGCCAAGCCCAUGUUGCUGGUGUCCAGGCUGCUGCCCCAGAGCUCUGACUUCAUAGUAUGGAAUGACUUUGGGAAUCCACUCAACACUCACACAUGUGCGACCCAAAAUGUGGGAGAAUUAAUGCCAUGUGGGGAGCCACCGCAUAAAUACUUCCAUCUUUCUGAAGUGUGCUGUCAGGAUAGUUUGAGACACAUUUCAUAAGGCUUCUCAGAAGGUCCUGUGAGAUUGAGCACCCAGUCAUUCAUAGCAGUGGUCAACUCAGUAACGCAUCCUUAUAUUGUCUCUCCUUCAUUCUACGAUUCAUUUUCCCCCAGCAGUGUGCUAAACUGCUCAUAUGGAUUGGCAAGAGCCAAUUGUUAAAUUUCAGGAAUUUUGCAAUUUGGUGAGUAAACACAAACACCAUUUUAAAUUAAAUUAUAUAAGCUUAAAAUUAAGUUACAUUAAAAGCAAGUAUUGGGGCCAGCCCAGUGGCACAGCAGUUAAGUUCACGCAUUCCAUUUUGGCAGCCCGGGGUUUGCCGGAUCGGAUCCCGAGUGCGGUCCUUCACACUGCCUGUCAAGCCAUGCUGUGGCAGGUGUCUCACAUAUAAAGUAGAGGAAGAUGGGCACAGAUGUUAGCUCGGGGCCAGUCUUGCUCAGCAAAAAGAGGAGGAUUGGUGGCAGAUGUUAGCUCAGGGCUAAUCUUCCUCACACAAAAAAAAAGAUACGUAUUCAGGAUUUAUCAUUUUCUAAUUAUUUUAAUGCAUCUUAUUAUCAUCAGUACUCUUGAGUUAUUCAUAUCUAUUGUAUCUGUUUGGUGGAAAUACUGUAUAAUGGUGUGCUAUGUUACAUCUCUUCCCAAGUUUCCGUUCAGCGACAUUGGCAUCUUGAUAUCAGCCAUGGUGGAAGUAUUACAUCACAGAAAUAGGCAAAUACUACAAAAGGAUUUGAUUGUUUUGUUGCUUAUUUAUACUUAAGAAAAUAAGGGAGAAAAUGUUAAUAAUGUAGAUUAAACUUAGAAGUCAGUCGUGUCUCUAACAGUUGCAUUGUGAAUGACACAAAAAAUUGUGUUCUAGACUACUAUUCAAUUCAGCAAAAAAGUCACUCAGGACAUUGAUGAAUGAAUGAAGUUGACAUAGGUCUUAGUUUCAC
rnacentral:lncRNA from 1 species